UUUAAAUUGAGAGUUUGAUCCUGGCUCAGGAUGAACGCUGGUGGCGUGCCUAAUACAUGCAAGUCGUACGCUAGCCGCUGAAUUGAUCCUUCGGGUGAAGUGAGGCAAUGACUAGAGUGGCGAACUGGUGAGUAACACGUAAGAAACCUGCCCUUUAGUGGGGGAUAACAUUUGGAAACAGAUGCUAAUACCGCGUAACAACAAAUCACACAUG
rnacentral:rRNA from 1 species